GAUGAACGCUGGCGGCGUGCCUAAUACAUGCAAGUCGAGCGAACAGACGAGGAGCUUGCUCCUCUGACGUUAGCGGCGGACGGGUGAGUAACACGUGGAUAACCUACCUAUAAGACUGGGAUAACUUCGGGAAACCGGAGCUAAUACCGGAUAAUAUAUUGAACCGCAUGGUUCAAUAGUGAAAGACGGUUUUGCUGUCACUUAUAGAUGGAUCCGAGCCGCAUUAGCUAGUUGGUAAGGUAACGGCCUACCAAGGCAACGAUGCGUAGCCGACCUGAGAGGGUGAUCGGCCACACUGGAACUGAGACACGGUCCAGACUCCUACGGGAGGCAGCAGUAGGGAAUCUUCCGCAAUGGGCGAAAGCCUGACGGAGCAACGCCGCGUGAGUGAUGAAGGUCUUCGGAUCGUAAAACUCUGUUAUUAGGGAAGAACAAAUGUGUAAGUAACUAUGCACGUCUUGACGGUACCUAAUCAGAAAGCCACGGCUAACUACGUG
rnacentral:rRNA from 1 species